rnacentral:rRNA from 1 species
UACGUAGGGUGCAAGCGUUGUCCGGAAUUAUUGGGCGUAAAGAGCUCGUAGGCGGCUUGUUGCGUCAGCUGUGAAAACCCGCAGCUCAACUGUGGGCUUGCAGCUGAUACGGGCAGGCUUGAGUUCGGUAGGGGAGACUGGAAUUCCUGGUGUAGCGGUGAAAUGCGCAGAUAUCAGGAAGAACACCUAUGGCGAAGGCAGCUCUCUGGGACGGUACUGACGCUGAGACGCGAAAGCGUGGGGAGCGAACAGG